rnacentral:rRNA from 1 species
AGAGUUUGAUCCUGGCUCAGGAUGAACGCUAGCGGCAGGCUUAACACAUGCAAGUCGAGGGGCAGCGGGGAGGAAGCUUGCUUUCUCCGCCGGCGACCGGCGCACGGGUGAGUAACACGUAUGCAACCUGCCCCUGUCAGGGGGACAACCCGCCGAAAGGCGGGCUAAACCCGCGUACAUGCCACCGGGGCAUCCCGGAGGCAGGAAAGGCUUCGGCCGGACAGGGAUGGGCAUGCGGCGCAUUAGGCAGUAGGCGGGGUAACGGCCCACCUAACCGACGAUGCGUAGGGGUUCUGAGAGGAAGGUCCCCCACACUGGUACUGAGACACGGACCAGACUCCUACGGGAGGCAGCAGUGAGGAAUAUUGGUCAAUGGUCGGGAGACUGAACCAGCCAAGCCGCGUGAGGGAUGAAGGUACAGAGUAUCGUAAACCUCUUUUGUCAGGGAACAAAGGCGGGGACGCGUCCCCGGAUGAGUGUACCUGAAGAAAAAGCAUCGGCUAACUCCGUGCCAGCAGCCGCGGUAAUACGGAGGAUGCGAGCGUUAUCCGGAUUUAUUGGGUUUAAAGGGUGCGCAGGCGGUCUGUUAAGUCAGCGGUCAAAGCCCGGGGCUCAACCCCGGUCCGCCGUUGAAACUGGCAGUCUCGAGUUGGAGAGAAGUAUGCGGAAUGCGCGGUGUAGCGGUGAAAUGCAUAGAUAUCGCGCAGAACUCCGAUUGCGAAGGCAGCAUGCCGGCUCCACACUGACGCUGAGGCACGAAAGCGUGGGUAUCGAACAGGAUUAGAUACCCUGGUAGUCCACGCAGUAAACGAUGAAUGCUGGCUGUCCGGGGGGACUGACCCCUGGGUGGCGAAGCGAAAGCGAUAAGCAUUCCACCUGGGGAGUACGCCGGCAACGGUGAAACUCAAAGGAAUUGGCGGGGGCCCGCACAAGCGGAGGAACAUGUGGUUUAAUUCGAUGAUACGCGAGGAACCUUACCCGGGCUCAAACGGGGAGUGACUCAGGCAGAGACGCCUGUUUCCCACGGGACACUCCCCGAGGUGCUGCAUGGUUGUCGUCAGCUCGUGCCGUGAGGUGUCGGCUUAAGUGCCAUAACGAGCGCAACCCCCGCGUGCAGUUGCUAACAGUCAACGCUGAGGACUCUGCACGGACUGCCGGCGCAAGCCGCGAGGAAGGCGGGGAUGACGUCAAAUCAGCACGGCCCUUACGUCCGGGGCGACACACGUGUUACAAUGGGUGGUACAGCGGGAAGCCAGGCGGCGACGCCGAGCGGAACCCGAAAUCCACUCUCAGUUCGGAUCGGAGUCUGCAACCCGACUCCGUGAAGCUGGAUUCGCUAGUAAUCGCGCAUCAGCCAUGGCGCGGUGAAUACGUUCCCGGGCCUUGCACACACCGCCCGUCA